GGACCUCGGGAUGCAUGUUCCGGGGUGGAAAGGUUUUCCGGUGCAGGAUGGGCCCGCGGCCUAUCAGCUUGUUGGUGGGGUAACGGCCCACCAAGGCGACGACGGGUAGCCGGCGCUGAGAGGGCGACCGGCCACACUGGGACUGAGACACGGCCCAGACUCCUACGGGAGGCAGCAGUGGGGAAUAUUGCACAAUGGGCGCAAGCCUGAUGCAGCGACGCCGCGUGAGGGAUGACGGCCUUCGGGUUGUAAACCUCUUUCAGUACCGACGAAGCGCAAGUGACGGUAGGUACAGAAGAAGCACCGGCCAACUACGUGCCAGCAGCCGCGGUAAUACGUAGGGUGCGAGCGUUGUCCGGAAUUACUGGGGUAAAGAGCUCGUAGGCGGUUUGUCGCGUCGUCUGUGAAAACCCGCAGCUCAACUGCGGGCUUGCAGGCGAUACGGGCAGACUUGAGUACUGCAGGGGAGACUGGAAUUCCUGGUGUAGCGGUGAAAUGCGCAGAUAUCAGGAGGAACACCGGUGGCGAAGGCGGGUCUCUGGGCAGUAACGGACGCUGAGGAGCGAAAGCGUGGGUAGCGAACAGGAUUAGAUACCCUGGUAGUCCACGCCGUAAAGGUGGGCGCUAGGUGUGGGUUUCCUUCCACGGGAUCCGUGCCGUAGCUAACGCAUUAAGCGCCCCGCCUGGGGAGUACGGCCGCAAGGCUAAAACUCAAAGGAAUUGACGGGGGCCCGCACAAGCGGCGGAGCAUGUGGAUUAAUUCGAUGCAACGCGAAGAACCUUACCUGGGUUUGACAUACACCGGACCGCCCCAGAGAUGGGGUUUCCCUUGUGGUCGGUGUACAGGUGGUGCAUGGCUGUCGUCAGCUCGUGUCGUGAGAUUGUUGGGUUAAGUCCCGCAACGAGCGCAACCCUUGUCCUGUGUUGCCAGCACGUAAUGGUGGGGACUCGCAGGAGACUGCCGGGGUCAACUCGGAGGAAGGUGGGGACGACGUCAAGUCAUCAUGCCCCUUAUGUCCAGGGCUUCACACAUGCUACAAUGGCCGGUACAGAAGGGCUGCGAUACCGCGAGGUGGAGGGAAUCCCUUAAAGCCGGUCUCAGUUCGGAUCGGGGUCUGCAACUCGACCCCGUGAAGUCGGAGUCGCUAGUAAUCCCAGCAUCAGCAACGCUGCGGUGAAUACGUUCCCGGGCCUUGUACACACCGCCCGUCACGUCAUGAAAGUCGGUAACACCCGAAGCCGGUGGCCUAACCCCUCGUGGGAGGGAGCCGUCGA
rnacentral:rRNA from 1 species